AGUCUUAUAUUCAUAUUUAUGAUAAUAGAAUGCAAUUCUGUAGGAGUAAUAAAAUUACUAAGGCUU
rnacentral:tRNA from 1 species